UUUUCUGGAGGUUGUUUCUCUUGGAGUUGUUUUUUUUUUUUUUUUCCUCUCUCUCCUGCAAGCCUAAGACACAGGAAACCACCUGGAAGUUCCUCUCUUCAAGAUGUCCUGUCAUUCCAAAGGCAAACAGGGACAACCACUUAAUUAACAGCAAUUUUGGUUCGUCUAUGAAUUCUAAAUCUCAAAGAAUUGGAUUGAGUCCACAAAUACAGUCUCAUCACAGUGAUGGAGAAGAGCAAAUGACCAUCAGAUAUUGGCUGAUUCAGAGUUCGUAUGACCUUCCAGUCUGCAUGCCCUUCAUUUCACCUCAAUGGAUCUCAUGUGAAACUAGAGAUAAAAGGAGUAACCUAGUGUAUUUGUUAUUUUCUUUUGAAGGAAUUUAUUUUUCUGAUAGCCAAAACAAUAGUCAGUUUCUAUUAUUUUUUGUCAGAAGUAUGCACAAUAGCAAAAUAAAUUGGAUAUGAUGAACUCUAAAAUGAUUAACAAGCAUUCACUAUUUCUGUGGGUAUUACUGCAUAUCACACUUCUAGUAUGAGGAUUUAUUCUAAUGAAACUUUGUUCUUCUGCCUUUCCUCAUUUUUCUUUACACCAAAUCCACUUAAAUUCUGUUUUUACAAAUCCAUAUCAUUAAUGCCUAGAUCUGAAUGGAUUCCAUAUGAGGAAAGAGCAAAUGCACUAGGAUUCU
rnacentral:lncRNA from 1 species